UACGUAUGGUGCAAGCGUUAUCCGGAUUUACUGGGUGUAAAGGGUGCGUAGGCGGCAUGGCAAGUCAGAAGUGAAAACUGAGGGCUUAACCCUCAGACUGCUUUUGAAACUGUCAGGCUAGAGUACAGGAGAGGAAAGCGGAAUUCCUAGUGUAGCGGUGAAAUGCGUAGAUAUUAGGAGGAACACCAGUGGCGAAGGCGGCUUUCUGGACUGAAACUGACGCUGAGGCACGAAAGCGUGGGGAGCAAAC
rnacentral:rRNA from 1 species